rnacentral:misc_RNA from 1 species
GAUGAAGAACGUAGCGAAAUGCGAUAAGUAAUGUGAAUUGCAGAAUUCAGUGAAUCAUCGAAUCUUUGAACGCACAUUGCGCCCGCCAGUAUUCUGGCGGGCAUGCCUGUUCGAGCGUCAUUUCAACCAUCAAGCCCCCGGCUUGUGUUGGGGACCUGCGGCUGCCGCAGGCCCUGAAAACCAGUGGCGGGCUCGCUGUCACACCGAGCGUAGUAGAUUUUCAUCUCGCUCAGGGCGUGCUGCGGGUUCCGGCCGUAAAAAGCCUUAUUUACCCAAGGUUGACCUCGGAUCAGGUAGGAAGACCCGCUGAACUUAAGCAUAUCAAGCGGAGGA